rnacentral:ncRNA from 1 species
GAAUAAACUGUGAUAAAGAGAAGUAGAAAUAGGAAGAGUUUUAAGAGAGAAAAACCCAUAGGCUGUAAGGUUUUUUAUACUUGAUAUUUUGAAGUAGCUUUUGAGUUUCUUUAGUGAAAAAUAAAAAAGUAGCUAAAGACGGCAUUUAUUAGAGUCGUUAUUAGUUUAAGAGCCCUUAAAUAUUUUAAGGGAAAAAAGGUGGUACCGCGAAUCUUCGUCCUUUUA